rnacentral:rRNA from 1 species
UACGUAGGGUGCGAGCGUUGUCCGGAAUUAUUGGGCGUAAAGAGCUCGUAGGCGGUGUGUCGCGUCGGUCGUGAAAACUUGGGGCUUAACCCCGAGCUUGCGGUCGAUACGGGCAUCACUGGAGUUCGGCAGGGGAGACUGGAAUUCCUGGUGUAGCGGUGAAAUGCGCAGAUAUCAGGAGGAACACCGGUGGCGAAGGCGGCUACCUGGCCCACUCUUGACGCUGAGGCGCGAAAGCUAGGGGAGCAAACGGG